GACCAUUCCCGUUGCUAUUUCCCAACUGUUUCUUAGCCCUCAUCAUAGACAAAUUGGGAUUGCCAGAAGAUGCUAACUUGCUUUUGGACUGCAUUUGCCCAUUCAUAGGAACGGAUUUCUUAUCUUUAUGGCCGACAUGAAUAUUCUGACGAGGAUUACUCAGAGGCUGCUUACUUUUCAUGGGAACAUGAGCUGAACGUGCCUCAGUACUUGGAGCAUAAACACUUCUUGAGGACUCUUUUGUAGGAGCAGGGACAUGUGCAUCCUCGGAAAAUAGAAAGGAGUAGUCUCUGGUGUCCUUCAGUUUUUGAACUUUUGUUUGCUUCUCAUUUACGACUUUUGGUGGAGCCCUAGGUUUGGGAGCUGC
rnacentral:misc_RNA from 1 species